rnacentral:lncRNA from 1 species
AAGGAAACCACUAAAACAUAUUUGAGAAUUACAAGUUGUGUUUACAAAGAAUACUUCUAAGAAAGCAGAUUAACACAAGUUAAUACAAUGAAUAUUUCUCACACAGUAAGGAGCAAAAACUCUUGUGUGCUUGCAAAACUAUACACAAAAAUAAUAUGAUUUCAUCAAAAGUAUGUGUAAUAGCAUUAUUAAAGCAUUAACAACUUCUUCCAAUCUUCAAGAUUCUUUUAUAUAGGAAUGUAAAAGAAUCCUUGGAGGGUAGAAUUAGAAUACUGAAUUGCAACUGUCUAUUUCAUUACAGUUUGCAUAUAGAAGGCAAAAUGGUACAAUAGUACUAUCCUUAGCCCACAAAAUCAGCGUAGUAAAGGAAAUGUUGAUCUUGUACUAGGCAUUAUUUUCCUGACGCAUAACAUUUUGAUCUUAUCUUCUAAUCUUCAGUGGCUUCUAAUGAAAUUAUGUUGAAGAAUGCUUAUAAGGAUCAAUAGACAAGUUGACAUAAUCUUCAGAAUCUUGAUCUUCAGAGUCUUGACACAGUUCCUUAGAACCUGGUCUUUAGAGUCUUCAGAUCUCGCUCUUCAAAAUCUUCAAAACUUGAGUGCAGAAUCUUGAAGGAAGAUAAACCUUCAGAGGCUCUUCAAUCAGAGUCACAAUCAUAAGAUUUAACAUGAACGUUCAUCAUAACUAUUGUCUAAGAGCUUUAUAGAACUUGAUAUAGCUUAUAAAGCACUUGUAUCUCCUCAGAGUCAGAGUGUAUUGUUUCCAGAAUCUGAUAACGUCACACGUCAUUGCUUCAGAGUUAGAACCUGUUAGCAAUAGCUACACACUAGAUAAAAAUCAUUAGUGUAUAAAAUUAUUC